rnacentral:tRNA from 1 species
GCACCCGUAGUUUAAUGGAUAGAAUAUCAGAUUCCGGUUCUGACGGUGCAGGUUCGAUUCCUGCCGGGUGUA